CCUACGGGAGGCAGCAGUAGGGAAUCUUUCACAAUGGGCGAAAGCCUGAUGGAGCAACGCCGCGUGCAGGAUGAAGGCCUUCGGGUUGUAAACUGCUUUUAUAAGCGGGAAAUAUGAUGGUAACUUAUGAAUAAGGAUCGGCUAACUACGUGCCAGCAGCCGCGGUCAUACGUAGGAUCCGAGCAUUAUCCGGAGUGACUGGGUGUAAAGAGUUGCGUAGGUGGCAUAAUAAGUAGCUAGUGAAAUCUGGUGGCUCAACCAUUCAGACUAUUAGCUAAACUGUUAAGCUCGAGACCGUUAGGGGUAACUGGAAUUUCUAGUGUAGGAGUGAAAUCCGGAGAUAUUAGAAGGAACACCAAUAGCGUAGGCAGGUUGCUGGGACGGUUCUGACACUAAGGCACGAAAGCGUAGGGAGCAAACGGGAUUAGAUACCCGGGUAGUC
rnacentral:rRNA from 1 species